CCUACGGGUGGCAGCAGUGGGGAAUAUUGCACAAUGGGGGAAACCCUGAUGCAGCGACGCCGCGUGAGUGAAGACGUAUUUCGGUAUGUAAAGCUCUGUCAGCAGGGAAGAAAAUGACGGUACCUGUCCAAGAAGCCCCGGCUAACUACGUGCCAGCAGCCGCGGUAAUACGUAGGGGGCAAGCGUUAUCCGGAUUUACUGGGUGUAAAGGGAGCGUAGACGGGAGGGCAAGUCUGGAGUGAAAGGCGGGGGCUCAACCCCCGGACUGCUCUGGAAACUGCCAGGCUGGAGUGCAGGAGAGGUAAGUGGAAUUCCUGGUGUAGCGGUGAAAUGCGUAGAUAUUAGGAGGAACACCAGUGGCGAAGGCGGCUUACUGGACUGUAACUGACGUUGAGGCUCGAAAGCGUGGGGAGCAAACAGGAUUAGAUACCCGUGUAGUC
rnacentral:rRNA from 1 species